rnacentral:rRNA from 1 species
AAGUCGUAACAAGGUUUCCGUAGGUGAACCUGCGGAAGGAUCAUUGUCGUGACCCGAAACCAAAACAGACCGCGAACGCGUCACCCGCCCGGCUGGCCGGCUCCCCCGGGAGCUGUCCUGCCAAGGCCCCCGACCUCCGCCGGGAGGGGAGGGGCCGCAACAGAACCCCCACGGCGCCGAAGGCGUCAAGGAACACUGAUAUUGCCCUGCGAGGGGGUGGGGCCGGCUCGCCGGCCUCGCCCCGCGCGGCGAUGCUACCUUAAUAAUCCACACGACUCUCGGCAACGGAUAUCUCGGCUCUCGCAUCGAUGAAGAACGUAGCAAAAAGCGAUACCUGGUGUGAAUUGCAGAAUCCCGCGAACCAUCGAGUUUUUGAACGCAAGUUGCGCCCGAGGCCUUCUGGCCGAGGGCACGCCUGCCUGGGCGUCACGCCAAAAGACGCUCCCAACCCAUCCACCCCGGGUGGUGGGGAGGGACGCGGCGUCUGGCCCCCCGUGCCGCAGGGCGCGGUGGGCCGAAGAGGGGGCUGCCGGCGUACCGUGCCGGGCGCCGCACGUGGUGGGCGACACAACAAGUUGUUCUCGGUGCAGCGCCUCGGCCCGCAGCCGGCGCGAUGGCCCUAGCAAGGACCCAUCCUCGACCGCGGCGCACGCCGCUCGGACCGCGACCCCAGGUCAGACGGGACU